rnacentral:rRNA from 1 species
UACGUAGGGUGCAAGCGUUGUCCGGAAUUAUUGGGCGUAAAGAACUCGUAGGCGGUUUGUUGCGUCGGCCGUGAAAUCCCGAGGCUCAACCUCGGGUCUGCAGUCGAUACGAGCAAACUAGAGUGUUGCAGGGGAGACUGGAAUUCCUGGUGUAGCGGUGAAAUGCGCAGAUAUCAGGAGGAACACCGGUGGCGAAGGCGGGUCUCUGGGCAACAACUGACGCUGAGGAGCGAAAGCGUGGGGAGCGAACAGG